UAGCGGCUGCUCUUCCUCUCUCUCCUUCUCCUAUCUACUCAGGUUUGGUCUCGUUCCGUCCUCUGCGUUUCCCGUUAUAUUCUACUCUUGUAAUAUGAUCGUUGGCUUUUCGUUGCUUGUGCGUGUAAGUAUCUGGGUAGGGUUAGAAAUGCUGUUUGGUUUGAUUAAGUGGAUCUGACGAUGUUUCAAGCUUCUACACUUGUUGUUGUUUAGCAUAAAAAGCUGUGUAGUUAUUGUAUUUUAGCUUUCUUCAACUUUCAAGAUCAUGUGAAGUUUGGUUCUGGGAUUUAUGGGAGAAGUGAACAUAGUAAGAUUUUUAAGUUUAAUUAUCUAUUAUAACUAUUGAAGUGUUAGCUUUGAUUCUUUGCUGAGUAAGUGUUUCGGAUUGGAUUGUUAGAUUAGGACGAUGUAUAUGUGUGGCUUGAACCCUUUUAACUCGAUUACUUGGAAUGCACAUUAGGGUUGCUGUAGUUUGAUUUUUUAUACAUAGGAAAGAUUUUUUUUUUUUUUCAAUCCAACCCAUUAGUUUGAUUAUAAGGCAUCUCUUUGACAAAAUGGGAUGACCAAUUUUACACUGCAUUUACUUUAGCUGCUAAGACUCAGAAUAUAUAUACACAUGCUCGUGCCUGUGCACACACGCAUUCUCUUAUGUGCAGUUUGAUGUGUUUUAAAAUUGGUCCUUUCUAGAAUUUCUCUUAGGCUUGUAUUUGGUUUCCUGCAGGAUGGAUUCACAGAUUAAGCA
rnacentral:misc_RNA from 1 species